rnacentral:rRNA from 1 species
AUUGAACGCUGGCGGAAUGCUUUACACAUGCAAGUCGAACGGCAGCACGGGGGCAACCCUGGUGGCGAGUGGCGAACGGGUGAGUAAUGCAUCGGAACGUACCCAAUCGUGGGGGAUAACGUGGCGAAAGUCACGCUAAUACCGCAUACGUCCUGAGGGAGAAAGCAGGGGAUCGCAAGACCUUGCGCGAUUGGAGCGGCCGAUGUCUGAUUAGCUAGUUGGUGGGGUAAAGCCUACCAAGGCGACGAUCAGUAGCUGGUCUGAGAGGAUGAUCAGCCACACUGGGACUGAGACACGGCCCAGACUCCUACGGGAGGCAGCAGUGGGGAAUUUUGGACAAUGGGCGAAAGCCUGGUCCAGCCAUUCCGCGUGAGUGAAGAAGGCC